rnacentral:rRNA from 1 species
AUACGAAGGGACCUAGCGUAGUUCGGAAUUACUGGGCUUAAAGAGCUCGUAGGUGGUUAAAAAAGUUGAUGGUGAAAUCCCAAGGCUCAACCUUGGAACUGCCAUCAAAACUUUUUAGCUAGAGUGUGAUAGAGGUAAGUGGAAUUUCUAGUGUAGAGGUGAAAUUCGUAGAUAUUGGAAAGAAUACCAGAAGCGAAGGCGACUAACUAGGCCAUUUUUGACGCUGAGAUACGAAAGCGUGGGUAGCAAACAGGAUUAGAUACCCUGGUAGUCCACGCAGUAAACGAUGAGUGCUAGUCGCUGGGACAAUAGUUUCAGUGUCGUAGCUAACGCAUUAAGCACUCCGCCUGGGAAGUACGGUCGCAAGAUUAAAACUCAAAUGAAUUGACGGGACCCGCACAAGCGGUGGAGCAUGUGGUUUAAUUCGAUGCAACGCGAAAAACCUUACCUACUCUUGACAUACUUGGAAGCUCUUGUAAUGAGAGUGUGCCUUUUGGAGCCAAGAUACAGGUGCU